UGCCCUGAAGCUGAGACCUCCCACAUGAGGGGUCCCCCCUCCUUUUACAGUGGGAGCUCCAUGAGAGCCCAGACUGGCUUCCUUAGCUGUCUGCAUCCCCAGGGAUUGGCACGUCCACGGGAGGCCUUUGGGCUGCCUGAGCCCUGGAGAGCAAGGAGCAGAGACACACAGUGGGCUAACAUAGCGUAUCUCCCAGGUCUGGGAAACCAUAGGUCAAGGAAGGAGAAAGUCGUUUGGAGAUUUCCCAUUCCAAGCAGAGCCGACUGAGGCCCAGGCUUGGCAAAGACUGGCCAUGUUUCCCAAAUAGGCAGCCACAGUUCACAAGAACAUCCGCAGGGCAGGGAAGGAGGCGGGGGUCUGACAACUGCCAAGCCUGUCACUCUGAAGACCAGGCAAGGAAAGGAAGAAGAGGUCUGCAUCUGAAUGGGAGAUAUCAUCUGCCCAACGAAGAGAGAGAAGCUCCUGCUUCAGAUGCGGGAGUCUACCCAGGGCCCUGGCUCCUCAUUCCUGGGAGCUAGGAUCCCAGCUGGUAAAGGGGCAGGGGUGGGUGUGGGGUGAUUGUGAGGGAGAAGGGAAAGGGCUAGGGGAGGCCUGAGGCUCUCAGCAGGGGGCAAGGUGAGUGUCAAGGGACAAAUGCCCUUUCAGCUGUCUGGAAGAAUGGAAAGGGGAAUUCAGCUGAACUCAACCAUUUCUCCUGGGACUGCCUGGGCUACAGUAGCUGGUGCUUCUGUAGACCAGGAAAGGUGAAGGCAGCACCCUCAAGGCUGGGACACUGAGUAGCUGACUCCCAUCCUUGUUGUUCAAAGCCCCUCUCCCAAGGAGCAGACCAUCUUCAGAGAAUAUUUCCAUCUGGGUGUCUAUUCUCCCUAACCAGUCACACUGAAUUCUCUUUUCAAUAGGCCAGACACUUGCUAGCGAGUUUUCUAGAGAUCACUGAUUGAGAGUAGAAUGGGACCACAGAGGUCUUCAAGUACAAAUCUUUCAUUUGACAGGGAGGGAAACCGAGUCCCAGGUGGAGGUGUGUAUCCUUCCUAAAGUCAGAAGCAGUAAAAAGGGGAGGCAGGAUUUGACCAUAAACCCUCUGACCCCCAACCCUCUUUGAAUUCUAUCAGAACAAUAGUACCCUAGAAUGCCAGGCUUCCAGGGCCACUAACUGUCACCCUUUGGACCUACAGUCAUCAAGUGAAUCAAGAGUACUUCCUCUGGGCCGCUGCUGUGGGACAUGAAGGAGGGAGGAGGUAGGUUUUGAGCCCUUGGGGGUAGCUUG
rnacentral:lncRNA from 1 species